CAUGGUCACAUCUCAGCAUGAGUUGUUGCUUGUUUGGUCAGCAGUGUGCACAGGUCCAGUAAUGUCACUGCAGCCAAACACCGUGGACGCGAUGCUGGCUGCCAUUCGGAACCACUUGAUGCCCAAGCCCCUGCUGGGGUCUCGGGUGUUCCUGGACCAUCUUCUGCAGUGAUCGCCUGAAGAUGGAUGAGGCUGUAGCUGGUGUUGUCUCUCCUCCAUUCAGUGUUCUGGAUGGAGACUCAGGCCUCAAGUCUUGAUGGUUUAAAUCUGGUAGGGGGCUCAUGAGGCACUAAAGCAACUAAUUUGGCUGAGGGUGGUGGAGGGCCUCCAGGGCAACUGGUGCUGUGGGCGUGGCUGGUGUCUCGACUACUGAGUGAAUGUCAACUAGUGCUUGACUGAUUUGGCUUCAUCUCUUCUUGAUUUAGGAGUCUGUUCUCCCCAUUUGGACCAUCCUCCUGCUGGAAGGCCUCUGUACAGCACACUUCCUCCUCCCCUUACAGUUUUAUUUAUUUUUUAAACUAGAAGUAAUAAAUGUAACUUUAAAUUGUGGAACCACAUGUCUCUCUCAUUGGUGUGUUGAAACCUAAGCACUCACUGGUGCAAAUUCCAAUGUGGCUUUUUUUUUUUUUUUUUUUUUAAAUUGCCUUCUCCAGUAAUCUCUGAUUUGCUUGGUGUUUGUCUUCAUACUUCGGUUGACGGGUUGCCUUGAACACAGUAGCCUAAAUAUUGUAUUAUGUUUUAACUUAAAAAAAAUACAGUUGCAUGAAGAACCCUUGCUGUGCAAAUAGGCCUUUCAUUAAAAUAAUGCCACAAAUGGGCAUCUUUGGAACAACUCAAUAUCUGAAUCUCGGUUUUUGAAAAGCUCAAUUUCACACUGAAGUUUAAAGUCUGAGCAACAUUUGCAUUCAGAAAUGGAUUACAUGGGAUAUACACUCUGUUUUGUCAAUGGAUAUGUCAUUAGUAUCGCAUGCAUUUCUGAAAAUUUUAAGCUUUCUGAUUUUCUUCUACCUCUGGCUCACUAGUGUAGCUUAUGAAAGCAACACAACAAUUAAACUCUGCAGUAGGUAACUUACAUUUUAACAUGAAAACUCACUGCCCAAUGGACAUUUGUGAAAAUAAGAGUUCUACCUCCUUGUGGUCCAUUUGCAAAAAAUGCACUUCUCAGCAUUAGAGCCAGGAAGGUCUUGCUGCUGCACACACUGCUCACAUCCUGUUCUCUGCUGCACUAAAGCUCCUUUACAACAAAUGAGCCUGCUGUGAUUGCUUAGGCCAGUUAGCAAGAUCACUGACAGAUGAAACUGUUUUACUGGAGUUGUUUACCAUCAGCACGAUUUCAACACAAG